CAAUAGCGUAUAUUAAAGUUGUUGCAGUUAAAAAGCUCGUAGUUGGAUUUGUGGCGUACGGUGUGUUCCGGGCACUUGUUGUCUGAGUAACCUGCUGUUGCCAUCCUUGGGUGGAACCUGUGUGGCAUUAGGUUGUCGUGCAGGGGAUGCCCAUCAUUUACUGUGAAAAAAUUAGAGUGUUCAAAGCAGGCUUAUGCCGUUGAAUAUAUUAGCAUGGAAUAAUGAGAUAGGACUUUUUUGCUAUUUUGUUGGUUUGCGCAAGAAGGUAAUGAUUAAUAGGGACAGUUGGGGGUAUUCGUAUUCCAUUGUCAUAGGUGAAAUUCUUGGAUUUUUGGAAGACGAACUACUGCGAAAGCAUUUACCAAGGAUGUUUUCAUUAA
rnacentral:rRNA from 1 species